rnacentral:rRNA from 1 species
GAUCAUGGCUCAGAUUGAACGCUGGCGGCAUGCCUUACACAUGCAAGUCGAACGGCAGCACGGGAGCAAUCCUGGUGGCGAGUGGCGAACGGGUGAGUAAUAUAUCGGAACGUGCCCAGUCGUGGGGGAUAACGUAGCGAAAGCUACGCUAAUACCGCAUACGAUCUAUGGAUGAAAGCGGGGGAUCGCAAGACCUCGCGCGAUUGGAGCGGCCGAUAUCAGAUUAGGUAGUUGGUGAGGUAAAGGCUCACCAAGCCGACGAUCCGUAACUGGUCUGAGAGGAUGAUCAGUCACACUGGAACUGAGACACGGUCCAGACUCCUACGGGAGGCGGCAGUGGGGAAUAUUGGACAAUGGGCGAAAGCCUGAUCCAGCAAUGCCGCGUGAGUGAUGAAGGCCUUAGGGUUGUAAAGCUCUUUUACCCGAGAUGAUAAUGACAGUAUCGGGAGAAUAAGCUCCGGCUAACUCCGUG